rnacentral:rRNA from 1 species
GAGUCUAACUCUCUAUAACCAUUGUGAACGAACUGCUAUGUUGCUUCGGCAGAGCAGGUCCUACGGGCUCAACGAGCCCCGGGGCCUCCUGCCGACAGUACGUAAACUCUUGUUAUCAUUGUAUCUCUGAGUAGCUUAUUUAAUAAGUUAAAACUUUCAACAACGGAUCUCUUGGUUCUGGCAUCGAUGAAGAACGCAGCGAAAUGCGAUAAGUAAUGUGAAUUGCAGAAUUCAGUGAAUCAUCGAAUCUUUGAACGCACAUUGCGCCCGCUAGUAUUCUGGCGGGCAUGCCUGUUCGAGCGUCAUUUCAACCAUCAAGCCCCAGGCUUGUGUUGGGGGCCUGCGGCCGCUGCAGCCCCCUAAAAGCAGUGGCGGGCUCGCUGUUAUUCCGAGCGCAGUAGUUACAUCUCGCUCCGGACGUGGCGGCGGGCACCUGCCGUAAAACACUCUUUCUAAGGUUGACCUCGGAUCAGGUAGGAAUACCCGCUGAACUUAAGCAUAUCAAUAAGCGGAGGAA